AGAGAGAGAGAGAGAGAGAAGAAAGGAAGAUUAAGUGGGCUACAUUUUCUUUGCAGGAAGGGUUAAGCUGUGUUUUUUAAGAAGGGUUAAAAAGAGAAGUCAUUUUUCUUCAAAUCAACUGAAUAAAAAAAAUUUAACAAAGACCUGCCAGAAGGUUAAACCCAUAACGGGUCGAUUGGGUGAUCGGGUAUCCGGCUGGUUUGCCGAGUUUUUGCCGGUUUUGAUGCCACAUCAGCUUUAAGGGAGUUUUACGAUUCGACCAACCAGGUUGGGCUGAGUUUCAAAACCAUGGAAUAAUUACUUAAAUUAAGAGACGGUUUGUGCAAUUAACAUAGCCAUUUACCUGGAGUACCUAAAACUUACACUUAAAUUUAUGCAUAAGACAAAUUGAUGCAUUAUUUUAGUAGUUUCACAUAUAUUUGCAACAUUUUCUAAAGCAUACAAGGGUAAACAAGGGAUACAUAAUGAAGCCAUAGCCCACAAGAAAUUCUUGGAGCCUGUUUACCGGUAGAAAACAGUUUCCUGUUUUUCAUUUUUCAUUUUCUAAGAAAACUGCAACUUUCAUUUUUCAUAGAAAAUAAGGAAGAACAUGGAAAACACAUUCACUUGUCAACAAUAGAAAAUAGUUUUAUAAUUCAAUUUUUUUAACAAAAAAAAUUAUUCAUAUCUUUCAUAAUU
rnacentral:misc_RNA from 1 species